rnacentral:misc_RNA from 1 species
UAAUAAGUGUUUUAUGGCACUUUUUAAAUCCAUAUCCACCUUGUGUGCAAUGUUGGUCGAUCUUCUUUUUAUGAGGAUCGACCAAACAUCAACCUUUAUUUUUUAACUCUUUGUCUGAAAAAUAUUAUGAAUAAACAAUUCAAAAUA